rnacentral:rRNA from 1 species
AGGAUCCUACGGGGCGCAGCAGUGAGGAAUAUUGGUCAAUGGGCGGGAGCCUGAACCAGCCAAGUCGCGUGAGGGAAGACGGUCCUAUGGAUUGUAAACCUCUUUAGGCGGGGAGCAAUGCCGGGCACGCGUGUCCGGAGGGAGAGUACCCGCAGAAUAAGCAUCGGCUAACUCCGUGCCAGCAGCCGCGGUAAUACGGAGGAUGCGAGCGUUAUCCGGAUUUAUUGGGAUUAAAGGGUGCGUAGGCGGAUUUUUAAGUCAGCGGUAAAAUGGCCGGGCUCAACCCGGGCCGGCCGUUGAAAAUG